UAAUACUUCAUGUGGCCUUGAAACUACCCCUCUGGUUUUCCUAGACUGUGUUUGAAAGAAAGUGGGAGAAAAACUGAAAUUCUUCAGCAUUUACUAAACAGAUUUAAUCUAGGAGACCAUACUUGGAAUACUGUGUCCAGUUCUGGUUGCCAUGAUACAAAAAGAUGCUGAAAUCUUAGAAAGGUGCAGAGAAGAGCAGCAAAGAUGAACAGAGGCUAAGAUGUAUGGUGAACAGUUAAAGGAACUAGGUUUGUUCCGGAUUGGCAUCUCUGGUUCCUGUCAUCCUAUCAUCACUCCCCUCUGCAUUCUCCCCCCUCCCACAUGUUAUGGCAGGAUGCAGGUGAAGUGAAGCAGGCUUGAAGCAUUUACAAUGGCAGACCUGACAAUGAAUGAAUCUAUAAAUUGUGCACAGUGA